GCCUCCUUGGCUCAGUUGGCUAGAGCGCCAGUCUCAUACCUGGAAAGGAUGAACCCAGCUGUUGGGCUUAAUCUGGAGGUCGCAAGUUCGAGCCUUGCAGGGGGCA